rnacentral:rRNA from 1 species
AACGAACGCUGGCGGCAUGCCUAACACAUGCAAGUCGAACGAGACCUUCGGGUCUAGUGGCGCACGGGUGCGUAACGCGUGGGAACCUGCCCUUAGGUUCGGAAUAACUCCCCGAAAGGGGUGCUAAUACCGGAUAAUGUCUUCGGACCAAAGAUUUAUCGCCUUUGGAUGGGCCCGCGUUGGAUUAGCUAGUUGGUAGGGUAAAAGCCUACCAAGGCGACGAUCCAUAGCUGGUCUGAGAGGAUGAUCAGCCACACUGGGACUGAGACACGGCCCAGACUCCUACGGGAGGGAGGAGUGGGGAAUAUUGGACAAUGGGCGAAAGCCUGAUCCAGCAAUGCCGGGUGAGUGAUGAAGGCCUUAGGGUUGUAAAGCUCUUUUACCCGGGAUGAUAAUGACAGUACCGGGAGAAUAAGCUCCGGCUAACUCCGUG